ensembl:snoRNA Gm55498 predicted gene, 25945
UCAUGGUAUGAAUGGUGGAUCCUUCCAUAUGGGUUCCUCAUAUUGGACCCAUGCCAAAAUAAACUACAGUCUUAAACCAUUUCCACAGGUGGGCUAUGAAGACUGAAGAGGA